AUACGGAGGGGGCAAGCGUUAUUCGGAAUUAUUGGGCGUAAAGGGCGCGUAGGCGGCUUGACAAGUCAGGGGUGAAAUCCCUCGGCUCAACCGAGGAACUGCCUCUGAAACUGUUCGGCUUGAGGCCGGGAGAGGGUGGUGGAAUUCCCAGUGUAGCGGUGAAAUGCGUAGAUAUUGGGAGGAACACCAGUGGCGAAGGCGGCCACCUGGACCGGUUCUGACGCUGAGGCGCGAAAGUGUGGGGAGCAAACAGGAUUAGAUACCCCAGUAGUCC
rnacentral:rRNA from 1 species